CUGCAAAUCUCCGCUGUGGUUGUUUCCUUCCCCCUCACCGCGCCUCCAUCUUCAAUCUCGCCGCACCACCGAAUAUGGCAUCUUCUGAAGCACCAUCAUCACAACCACCAUCACAAGAAGCAUCUUCAUCUCAAAGUUUAGUUCCAAAUAAUGUUAGAGGAAAGACUGAUAUAGCUUGGUCACAUUGUAUAGAAGUCCUGAUGGAAAAUCUCUUGUUUGUAUGUACUGUCACAAAUCUUUUGGUAGAGGUGGAAUUCAUAGGGUAAAGCAACACUUGGCUGGAAUAGUAGGAAAUGUUGAAAUUUGUAAGAGAGGAGAUUGAGAAGAGGUUUAGAAGAAAUAAGUUGAAAGUAGAGCCUUAUUUGAAGAUCUUGGAUAACCAUUGGGAUGCACAACUUCAGAAAAAUCUUCAUGAUGCUGGUUAUUGGUUAAAUCCAUCUUGUAGGUUUGGUCUGGAAUAUGAAAAAAACAAGUCCACCACCCAAGGCCUUUUGGAUGUCAUUGAAAAGUACGCUUAUGAUAGUAAGGACUUGCGAUCUAAAUUAACUGUUGAGAUGACUUCAUUCAAAAAUUGUGAAGGUAGUUUUGGAAGGACAACGGUAGUAGAAAACCGAGAUGAAGUUUUUCCCGAUCAAUGGUGGGAUACUUAUGGAACCGAAGCGCCAAAUUUGCAAAAGCUGGCUAUUUGGAUUUUGAGUCAAACUUGUAGUGCAUCUGGUUGCGAACGAAAUUGGAGUGUGUUUGAACACAUUCAUUCAAAAAAGAGAAAUAGGUUGGAGCAUCAAAAGCUUAAUGAUCUCGUUUAUGUCUGUUACAAUUUACGGCUACAAAAUAGUUAAUGAUUUGUAGAACCAAGAAGAAACAAAAUUAUGAUCCUAUUAAUUUUGAAACACUUGGUGAUCAUUCUAAUUGGGUGUUGGAGGAUUCACCACCAUUCUUGACCAUUGAGGAGGUGGAAGCGCUACGCAAAGAUCUUGCUAGUAUGACAAUCCAACCUAUUUCAAAUGAUAUUGAUGAAUUAAAUCUGGAUGAGGUUGAUGUUGAGGGAGAUGCAUCAUUUAACUCCGGAGAAAACAACCAAAGUAAUGAUAUCAUUGAUGGGGAAGAUGUUGCAAAUGCGGUUGAUUUUGUCGAAGAUGGUUUUGAUAUUGAAGGAGAUUCCAACAUUGAGAUAAUUUUACCUCCUUGGAACUAAAUUUAAUAGAUAUUUGAGUGUUUUGGUUCUAAAGUACUUAAUUAGUUUAUGUUGCAAUUAGACUUUGUAAUUUGUACUACUUUGUUAUCUGUAAUACUUAUGUUUAAAUUUGAACUAAAUUUGUGAUUUUUAAGU